CGUCCGGGACGACCCGGACGAUGACCUCAGUGCCGGGACGGCCCG
rnacentral:ncRNA from 1 species